AGGCGCUGCGGGAGGCCACUGGUGCUCAAGCACCUCGGAUUCCCGCUCAUACAGCCGGCCGGAUCAUGUGGCAGUCAGGUGGCGACCACUAUCUAGCCCAACGUUGCUGGAGUUGUUGCAGCUCUGCCGGGCCCACAUAUCAGCGUUCGUGCAUGACGGUGAGUUGCCACCCAUGGCAUCUCUGGACCAGUUGCAGGCCAGAUUUGGGAACAGCCCGCCUGGCUCCCUGUCCUCCCUGAGGCUGAUGCAGGCAGACAGCCUCCUGUGGAUGGGUCACAAAAUGACUGUGCAGCAGCCGAAGGCCCCUGGAACCCAGACAGAUGUGCUACUGGCUGACCUUCAGCACUGCAGGCAGCAGAAGGGCUACCCCUGGGGAGGCCCAGGCCCAGGGCUUCCCCCGCCCCCUGAACUACACCCAUGGCUGCCACUUCAGCUGAUCUGCGGUGACAUGCCCACCACCACCUCAGACCUCUACAGCUUCUGCAUCCUGAUCCAGGAGGUCUUCACUGAGAAACUGUACAUCAAGUGGCUCACAGAGCCAAGACCACACCCAGGCCUGUGGCCCCUGUGAUGUCCCCAGGCCCCAUCCCAUGCCAGGCCUGAGACUCCUGAGGUCAGAGACCACAGCAGGAUCCCAAGGGGUGCAGCCUGGAACUUGGGCAGCAGCUUGACUCUAGGCAGCAGCUCUGGGCCCAGCCCAGGACCCAGCCCUGGGUCUGGCCACAGCCCCACAGCCAGGGUCAGCCUGCACUGCUGCCUGGAGCCCAGCUCAACAGUACAGAUACCCCCAGAGCCCUGCACAACUGUCCCACUGCUAACCUGUGACCCCCUCCGCCCGCCCUCCAGGAGUCACCAACCCGAAGUUCCCUGGCUGCCUCUCCUUUGACCAGGGAACUUUAGGGUCGCCCAACUGUCCCCUCACUCACCUAUGACCCUUAACCAACCCUGCUUCCCCCAGGGCCCUUCCCUGCACUCCAACUCCAGCCUCUAGGACUCAGCCUCCCUGCUGGGGACCCAGAGCUCUGCGGAACAGUUUGAGGAAGCUCUCAGCCAAGAUUCCAGCCCUGCAGGGGCUGCUGCGGCGCACACACAGGGUUAUUCUGCUGGAGCCCCAGCCCUGUGAGCCCAUCCCCAGCCUGCUGACCCACAGGGAGGCUUCCCACACACUGGGAGGCUGCUGGCAGGGAAGGCCACGAGGGCAGGCUAAGCAGAGGACCCCGAGCUCAGCCUGUGCCCCAUCUGCCCUCCCAGGCCCGCUGGAGCACCAUGGCUACCAGGUGGCAGCUCCAGCCUUCUCUCCUGCAGGCACCCGGUACUGAGCUGACUAGAGGAGGUCUCUUCUCCAGCCUGCAGAAGAUGGACCUGCUGGAGGAGAUCAUAGCAGAGCUACAAAAAGGAUGUCAGCUUGGAGAAAAGCCCAGCCUGAGCCCCACUCCUGACCUAGACUCCCAGGGUGCCCAUGGUUCCCCUCUCUGCAGAUACCACCUCUCAGAGGCUCCCAGGAGUAACUCCUGCCUUGGUGCCUCCCCAAAAGGAAAUAGAAUGAUAAAGUGCC
ensembl:lncRNA TEX14BP testis expressed 14B, pseudogene